UCAUUCCAAUAUGGAUUGAGGCAGACGACUUCAGCCCAUGUUGAUUUCUCAAGUAAAAUGUAGCUUCUUAGUGCCAUCUUGUGGUACAACACCGUAUGUCUUAUAAACAUUUACGUUUCCUUACAUUUUAUGAUUACUACCACUCCUGUUAUUUAGAUCCUUCAAAUAAUAUAAAUACUGAUACAGUAGCUGGCCAAAUAUUUAAGAGCUGAUAAACUAAGAAAGUCUUGAAAUAUAGCAGAAUGACCCUAUUAGCUACCAUUUACAGCAGGAGAGGAUUAUGGGUACAAGAAUUAUGCUGAUAAACUGUGUGUCUAUUACUAUUUCUCCCAGUAACAAUACUCUCUCUCUAUACCUCUUUAUCUCUGACAACACAGGGGGGAACAUAUUUAACCAGAACCUAAGAAAAGUGGUUCCCCCUCUGUUUAUUACUGCUGGAGAGGAUUAUGGGUACAAUAAUUAUGCUGAUAAACUGUGUGUCUAUUACUAUUUCUCCCAGUAACAAUAUUCUCUUUCUAUACCUCUUUAUCUCUGAGAACACAGGGGGGAACAUUUCUCCAGAACCUAAGAAAAGUGGUUCCCCCUAGAGGAUUUAAUAUAAAGUAAUCAUGCUGAUAAACUAUAUAUCUAGUACAGUUUCACAUAGUAACUUUACUUUAUAUAUGUACCCCAUUUACACUGAGAACACAGGGAACACAUUUAACCAGAGUCUGGGAAAAGUGGUUCCCUUAUAGUUUAAUAAAGCUGGAGUGUAUAAAAGGAACAUUAUUGAUGCUGAAAAACUAUAUAUAGAUUACCAUUUCACUCAGCAAAUUUAAUACUAUCUGCAUCACCUUUACACUGAGAAUACAAGGGGAACACAUUUUACCAGAGCCCCAGAAAAAUGUUUUAUUCUUUAUUCUUGGUUCAUUCAGUUUUUUUGUUGUUGCACUGAUCCUUUUUGAAGUAUGUAUUCAACCCAGGCAAAAUUAAAAGCAAUAGAUAGUAAUAGAUUACACUUGUUAUAAAAUGAAUGCACUUUUAUGUAAGUUCAUCAGUUCAAUAAUUCUCUAAUAAUACUCUACCAGCUUCCUUGUUUUAACAUUAAAUAUGAGAGUGUAUGGAGGAACAGAUUUGCUCUGUGCCUUUAAAAAGUUUUGGACCAAAAGGAUAAUUUUACUGUGAUACAAACUAUGUUCUGUAAUAAUUAGCAUUUUGCCUUUCUCACAUUUCCUGCUUCCGGAAAUAUGACGUUGAGCAAUGCAGUGGUCUCGCGCUUCCGGUUUUAGAUUUGCAAUGACCGAAUCCUCUCGCCGGUGUUACUGCAGCGUUCCUGCUUGCUCUAACUCGAAACAGAGACACCCCUACCUCAGUUUUCAUGAUUUUCCCAAAGACGAAGGCUUGCGAAAGUCCUGGGUGAGAUUAAUAAGGAGGGACGAGGGUCUGUUUUUUAAUAUACUCCGCGGGAGCACCCACGUAUGUAGCCUGCACUUUGACAGUGCAGACAUUUACGUUUCAAAAAGUGGCAGAAAACGCUUAAAACCUGGAGCUUUGCCUCGCCGUUUUGCCUGGAACAACUGGGGAAAGGACCAGACAUCUCGGGAGUCCGCCUUCGAUCGCGCUAGAGCUCGUCUUGGAGUUGACGUUCGUGCAGAGAAUGUUGCUACUCAGGCUAACCAUACAGCCGAUGAAGCUAACCAAGUUUCAGCUGUGGAUGAAGAGGACGAGCUAUAACCUACAACAGACCAUAACUACUGUGCGUGCUCUCAUCCUUCAGGUGACUCUGCUGCUGAAAGGAUCAGAGAAUUGGAAGCCAGGGUCAGAGAAUUAGAAUCUCAACUCCAGGACAUGUCUGCCACAACACUGCAAAUCAACAGAUAUUGUUCAACUGAUGAAGAGUUCAGAUUUUACACACGGUUUACAUCAGAGAAAGUCUUUUUGAUUUUCUGGGAUUCUGUCACCCCCUCAGCAUCAAGGUUAGUCUACUGGAGUAAGGCACAGAGGGUUGAGGAUGUCAUGGAAAUUGAGAAACCAAGUCCAAACCGGAGACUAGCACUUGUGGAUGAAUUCUUCAUGUACUGCUGCCGUGUUGCUGUUGGCCUAAAGAAAAGGUCUUAGCCGACAUCUUUGGAGUCAGCACUGCAACUGUAAACAGAGUAAUAACAUGGGCCAACUAUUUGUACCUUGUCUUAGGAUCAAUGCCAAUCUGGAUGUCGAGGGAGCAAGUUCAAGCAACAAUGCCGUUACACGGUACUGUUUAAACGUGAGGGUGAUUCUGGACUGUACCGAAGUCAGAUGUGAAACACAAUCAUCUCUUACUCUCCAGUCUGAAACAUUUUCAGCAUACAAAAAUCACACCACUUUCAAAGCAUUGAUAGGUGUGGCCCCAUGUGGUGUGAUCACAUUUGUUUCAAAGCUUUUCACAGGCUCAAUAUCUGACCAAGAAAUUACAAGGCAGUCUGGAAUUCUCACAUUACUGGAGCCAGGAGAUGCAUGCAUGGCAGACAAGGGCUUCAUUAUUGACCAGAUGCUGUCUGAGGUUGGUGCAAGUCUCAUUAUCCCCCCUUUCAAACGAGGUACCUGCUUCAGCAAAGAGGAAACAGAAAAAACACAAGCAAUAGCUCGUCUCCGGAUCCUGGUGGAGAGAGCUAUCAGGAGAGUCAAGGAAUACCACAUUUGGGACACAACCAUUCCUCUGACCCUCUCAGGCUCAGUCAAUCAGCUAUGGACUAACUGCUGUUUAAUGACAAAUUACCAAGGACCG